rnacentral:rRNA from 2 species
UCAGGACGAACGCUGGCGGCGUGCCUAAUACAUGCAAGUCGAGCGGACAGAAGGGAGCUUGCUCCCGGAAGUCAGCGGCGGACGGGUGAGUAACACGUAGGUAACCUGCCCCUUAGACUGGGAUAACUCCGGGAAACCGGAGCUAAUACGGGAUAAUAAAGAGAAUCACCUGAUUCUCUUUUGAAAGACGGUUUCGGCUGUCACUAAGGGAUGGGCCUGCGGCGCAUUAGCUAGUUGGUAAGGUAACGGCUUACCAAGGCGACGAUGCGUAGCCGACCUGAGAGGGUGAUCGGCCACACUGGGACUGAGACACGGCCCAGACUCCUACGGGAGGCAGCAGUAGGGAAUCUUCCGCAAUGGACGAAAGUCUGACGGAGCAACGCCGCGUGAGUGAGGAAGGCCUUCGGGUCGUAAAGCUCUGUUGUGAGGGAAGAACAAGUACCGGCGUAACUACCGGUACCUUGACGGUACCUCACCAGAAAGCCACGGCUAACUACGUGCC